CAUAUGGACCUUCAUAGAGGAAUUUGAAAGGCCUGUGCAUUUCAAGGAAGUUAGAUACAGGACUUGGCAUACAGAGGCAUUCAUAAAUUCAAACCCUAGAGAUUUAGCAGAUUUAGCAGAUUUAGCUAUAGUAUUAACAGCUAUAAUUGUAUCUUUCAUUAAAGAGAACCUUUCUUUCAUGAAGUAGGAUGUUGUCUAGUAGUUCAGCCUCCAAGCAGUCAUGUUCAAUGUCUGCAGGCCACGAUGGAGGAUUUUUUGCCUUUGUCCUGGGGAGAAGGUUGGUGGAGGGUUGGUGGAGACGACAGUUGAGGCCUAGAGAGAGAUAUGGCUACACAGAGGCCUACUGGGCAUGUGUGGCAGUCUCCAAAAUGGCUGCUGCCAUGCAGGUCAGGCCCAGAAUGGGCUGAAGACUGCCUGGACCGGGUGGUUUUUACCAUAACAGAGGCCAGCGGGGCGGGGGUUCCUGGUGAUCCCCCCCUGCAGCCCCGGAGAAGCCCCUGGAGUGGGAGGCUCGUGGAAGAAUCUAUAUGUCCCUAUAGGUGCUCUCUGGCCCUUUAAAGCAUAGUGGUAUUGGAGCCUACAAAACCAGCGGUAGAGCGCCUUCCUCUUCAGUUCUUGAAUCGGCUGCUGCGAAUGGACUGACAACAUUGAGAGAUAGAGAAGACAGCCUGCAAGCCACAGCAGCCUAGAAUUUCAUCUAAAAGUUCAGCUUCCAUGCUAUUAGCGGGAAGGUCUGAAGGGCAUGGUCGAGGACCAGACCCCCAUCUCUUGUGAGGAGGUCCUAUUGACGUGGAAGGUGAAGGUUUGGAUGGAAGACAGACAGCAGCCAGAGUUGUAGUCUCUGCAUCCUCAAGCAUGCAUUUGCCACAAUCAUGGUUGCAUGAAUAAGACCCAGCAGAUGUUGGAUGUACCGAGCCCGUUGCUUGGGGGAAGACUGGAAAGUGAUCACCAUGGAGGAAAUGGCCUGGGUACAUUCUACAGGAACAAGGGAACAGGAGCAGAUCCUUCACAAGGCAGCACAAGUGGCGGAUGAGAAAGAAUUGAAGAGGGAGGCACUCUACAGCCAGCUUUGCAGACUCCAAUAUCACUACACCUUAAAAGGCCAGAGAACACCUAAACGGAGCUAUUGAUUCUUCCUCAGGCCUCCUGUACAGGCACAGAAGACCCAGUUGUGAGGGACCAUGGAUCCCUACAGAGAUGUAAUUGCUAUGGCAAUAUUGUUUGCUUGACUUCUAGACACCCUCAAACAGCUCUUUUUAAUUAUGUCAAAUCUGACAGAAAUCUGACACAAUAGAGAUUUCAUGCUGACAUUUCUGAUAUGAUAGCUGCACCGCCCCAGUGCCAAGUUGCAUUGAAAUUAAUCUGCCAUUUCCAGACAUGGUCGAUGUUGACUUCAAAAGCACUGUCAUUUCAACAUGCACAGCCCUACUGAAAACAUUAUAAAAAUCAAUCUUUAUUUUUAUGUUCCAAGACCAGCCAACAAAAAAAUACAAUGAAAAUUAUGAAAACACA